GGUUGCGAUCAUACCAGCACUAAUGCACCGGAUCCCAUCAGAACUCUGCAGUUAAGCGUGCUUGGGCGAGAGUAAUACUAGGAUGGGUGACCCCCUGGGAAGUCCUCGUGUUGCAACCC
rnacentral:rRNA from 1 species